GUGCUUGCUUCUAAAAGCACAUAUAUUAACACUGUAACAAUAUGGAGAAGAUUAGCCCGACCCCUGGGCAAGGAAGGCACAUACAUUCAUGAAGUGUUCCAUAUUUUA